rnacentral:snRNA from 1 species
CCAUCUUGCUCGCCCUUUUGGCUAAGAUAAAGUGUAUUUGUUUGUACCAGUUUGAUAUCUAAUACGUGGACCAUAUGUUCAUUUUUAUAUUGACUUUAUUUUAUGAGCAUUUUUUGUGGAGGGUUCAACAUAGGCUUACUCGAGCCUCACAUGUCGCUCAGUUGUGUGCCGCCGCA